AGAAAAAUGAUUGGGCAAAAAGGAGAUAGAGAGAGAGAAGAUGAAAAGAAAUAAUAUAUUCCAAUGUAGAGAGGAGAAAUAGAUGGAUGUUGGGUAUUUGAAGCAGUAUCAGAUAAUGCAAGAGGUUGAAUAGGUGAUAAGAAGAGCCAGUAUUAAUCAGAGCAAGUAAAACAAAGAUAGAAAGAUUGAUUCCACUUACUGCUUUAAACCAUUAGAUAAAAUACAUUCAAAUGAGUUGAAACUACUACGUUUGGCUAUUAGAGUAGCUACAAUCAAUCGAGUUAGAGUGAUUUAGAUGAUUGAAGUUGACAUUAGAAUUAUUUAUAGAAAACCAUUCCAUGGUGAAGAAAAUUCUUGGUUAAUCUGGGUUUGCAUUUCACUUGGGUUCAGACAUUUUGCAGAUGUCUAUCAUUCUUUGGCUAUACAUUCCUGCAGAGUUGCUAGAGCACAUAAGCCAUUUCCCAAAUUGCUAUGGACUUCCUACCAGCCAAUUCUAGCAUCUCAGCUCAGGGAUCUGUAGCUGACUGCUGGGAUGGUGGAGUGUUAUGGCUUGGUUGUUUCUAUUGUGUGAAGAAUGUAAUCUCUGGAAUGUCCUUGUGAUUGUUGUGGGUCACUGUGUACCUGAUCCCCUCUACAGUGUCCUUUUCAUGAUAGUGCAGAUCCUGGUUGCAGCCUGUGAGCACAAGAUCUCUGGUUGUGGAUUUUCCAUGGGUGUUCUUCAGUUGUAGCAUUCUCCCACCAGACAACACUCUUUUGGGUAUUGUAGUGAAGAAACUCAGGAAAUUCACCUGGGGUCUAGUUCCCCUGCCUCAGGUUGUGAAUGGUGGGUGCUGAUUCCCUCUGUUGACUCUGACUGAUGUAAGGUCCAGCCAUUGUCCAAACAAUGCCCUUUCAUUUGACAGUUGUGACCAUGGGUCAAAAUGGGAGCAAGUAAGGCUGGAGGCAGGAUUAGGCCAGGAGCACUCACUCCCUGAUGUCCUGUAAUUUUCUACCUUAACUGACCCUCCUUUGUUGUUUGUGGAUGGCUUAUGCUUAAGUUUCCUGAGGCAUUCAAGGAAUUUCUCCUAGCAGCUUUCUGCUCAUGCCGCCACCAUCUGGGAAAUAGAUCCCUAUGUCACUGGAUAUUCAGGCAGCUUCCCUCCAGCACAGCUUUGUGAUCAAGGGGACAGUUCCUAUCCCUAGGCUUACCACAGUGGUGCUUUCCCCCAAAGUCAGUGAUUAGGGCUAGUCUGGUCCUGAUGGAUCCUCUUUCCUCCACUUGGAGCAAAAGUUGCUUUGCUGUUCUCUCAGAGUCUAGGUACCACGAAAGCUGCACAGAACUUCCCACAUUUACCUGAGUUACAGAGACUUAGCAGGGUGCUGGGUUAGGGGCACAUCCCAGUACAUGUCUACUCCAUCCCCUCCCCCAACAUUUGUUGUAAUGUGGGAUGGGUAUCAGUAAUUUUCAGCUAGUAGUGAUCCUACUAGAAGUUCUUUCUAGCCAGAUUCUCAAGGUCCACUGCAGUGGUCUUCCCUCUAGUUAAUCUGCAGCUAUAUGGGCAUGGUAAGAAAAUUUAAGAGUAACUAGUUGGCUGGGGGCUGCACAGAAUGGUUGCAGACCCCCAGCUCAGCUUUCUUUUUAUGAUUUGGUUUUAACUUCAUCUGCUUCAAGAACCCUGCUAUUCCUAUGAUAAUUUAAAAUUUGCCCUUCAAAUGUUUUACAAUGGGUGAACUUAAGAGAUUUUUCUACUUCUCCUUCAUCUCUCUGUUGUCCCAUCUCCCUUUUUGCACCCUGGUCCACUUUCAGGGUUAGGAAACUCUGUACUUAUUUUAUAUUCUGGCAAGUAACUGAUCUUCAAGUCUGUCUAGGUCUCAGACUUUUUAAUAUUGAGUCUCAGAGCAUUAUUUUGUCACCAACUUCUCAGUUCUGCUUUUCCUUACUGCCUCCAUUCUGUGUUGUGAGGAGAUACGGACUUGCUGAGUAACUCAUUAUCACCAUCUUUUCUACCACCAAACCCCAUGUCUUAACAUAUGAAAUAACUUGUAUAUAGAUAAAGGGAAUUAAUUUAUACUGUCAUAUUUGGAGAUUAUCUACCACAUUAGAAAAGUCAAAUUGUUCAGCAGUCCUUAGUGGACUUUAACUUUUCUUAUAUUUGUGAAAGGAGAGCUGGAAAAUGUGAUUCUAUUGAGUUCAUUUGCCAACUCAGAGAAAAGGAAGUAUUUUAAUAAGAAAGAAGGGAACAGAUAUUCGGUAGCAAUCUGGCAAUUUUAAUUUGUUAUAUGUUAUUUGUAGUCUGUACACUGUAUUAUUAUUGCUUAAUAUUCUUUAUAUACCUUUUUUCAACUGAAGUAAUAUACUUAGCUUUGUUCCAAUAGAGAUAUCCCAAAUUCACUUCUAGUGAUGGUACCUGUGUUAGGAUUCUCUAGAGGAACAGAAUCAACAGAAAGCAUGAUUCUAAAGAGGGUAUUUAUUAGAUUGGAUUAUAUAACCAGAAGCUGGAUAGUCCACAAUGGCUGUCUGUAGCCUGGAGAGCUGGAAGAAUGAGUAGCUGCACAGUCCAAGAAGUUGAAGCCUCAGAACAAGAGGGAUGUAAGGUGCUACCUUAGUCCAAGACCGAAUGCUUCUGGAAACUCCGUGGAGAAUCACUGGCAGAGUCGACUUUGGAAGAGUGAAGAAGUGAGAGUCUAAUAUCCUCAGGUAGUCUCAGCAGCAAUCAAACCCUGUUCUAAAAGAAUUGAACUUGCAUCUGUGGCUGCUUCCUUGUUCUUCCAACUUUCAUUCAAUCGAGGACACCAUCCUAUUCAACACUGCUGCCCACCACAUCAGUUUGCUAUCCCAUGUGCCAAUCAUUUCUAGACACACCCUCAUUGACACACCCAGAAGCCUCUUAAUCAUAGGCAUCUCUUAAGCCAAUCAAGUUCACAAUUCAAAUUAAUAAUUACAAUAACCAAUUAAAAUUUAAAGUGUGUAAUCUUAGUAAUGUGUAAUCUCUCCAAUAAAACCAUUUGUAGAUUCUGGUUGUGUGCAUCUUUCCUAC
rnacentral:lncRNA from 1 species